UACGGAGGUGGCUAGCGUUGUUCGGAAUUACUGGGCGUAAAGCGCACGUAGGCGGACUUGAAAGUCAGAGGUGAAAUCCCAGGGCUCAACCUUGGAACUGCCUUUGAAACUUCUGGUCUUGAGGUCGAGAGAGGUGAGUGGAAUUCCGAGUGUAGAGGUGAAAUUCGUAGAUAUUCGGAGGAACACCAGUGGCGAAGGCGGCUCACUGGCUCGAUACUGACGCUGAUGCGCGAAAGCGUGGGGAGCAAACAGG
rnacentral:rRNA from 1 species